GCACAAUACUAUUAAUUGGCACAAAUAAAUAAGACCUAGGUUUACAAAUCUAAACAACAAACGCGACUUCUUUUGCUACAAAAGUUUCAAAACAUAUUACAAUUUUUUGGAAUAAAUGUUUAGAAUGCUAAUGUUUUUAUCAAAGCUUUGUCCCAUUCAAAACGGCCAUCUUGGGAAACGUCCAAUUAUACCUGGUGGUCCUCGUCGUUUCUUUCAUUCUAAAUAUAGGC